GACAAGAAAUAACAAUACAGGGCUAUUGUCUUGUAAUUGGAAUGAUGGUGACGUAAAAGCUCACCAGAGUACCAAUUGGAGGGCAAGUCUGGUGCCAGCAGCCGCGGUAAUUCCAGCCCCAAUAGCGUAUAUUAAACUUGUUGCAGUUAAAAAGCUCGUAGUUGUAUUUCAGCCUGUCGUCUUUUCCCUUGUUUGGGUUUUUUCGCGGGCCUUUUUUUUACUUUGAGAAAAUUAGAGUGUUUCAAGCAGACUUUUGUCUUGAAUACUUCAGCAUGGAAUAAUAGAGUAGGGCCUUGGUUCUAUUUUGUUGGUUGUGUACCUUGGUAAUGGUUAAUAGGAACGGUUGGGGGCAUUCGUAUUUAACUGUCAGAGGUGAAAUUCUUAG
rnacentral:rRNA from 1 species